UGCCUAAUUAGGAGAUAGUUCUUUAAGAGGCCCAUUGUGGGGGAGGUAGGAGUGAGUUGUGUCUGGAUCAUUGUUGCUAGGCCAAUUAAUCACUCCACAUCUCAAAGCUUCUGGAACUGGGAGUAGUAGUUUUGUGUAUGGUCCAAUAGGUUCCCUGUUGCCGGGGUCAGACUCCAUGAGGGCAAGCAGUCAGGCAGCUUUUCAGAGGGCUGCAUGUGCUGGGUGAGUUAGGAGCUCAGCCCAGAAGCAUUGUGCAGCAGGAUUUUCUUUAACCAAUCCUUCAGUUAAGUGUAUAGAUUUAAUCAGUUAGCUUACUGGCUAGUAGUUAUUUCAGCAGAGGAAGAGUCUGCAUAGAUUCCAACUGAAGAUUCCUACAAGCAAGUGGAGGGAAGAUGUUAUUUUAGACUCAGCAGACUAUAGAUUUGACGAUCAAAGACUAACUGCAACUUAGCCCUUGUAGGUAUGGAGAUAACCUUGGAAAUGUAACAUAGUACAAACUGACGCAGUGGUGCCUGCCAGAGCCUGGCAAGAACAUGAAAAUAAGUGAGGGGGAGUUUGGCAUUUAAACCUGCUGAUCAGUGACCUUCUUGUGGAAUCAGCAAUAGAACAGCAGGAGUUUCCAACAUCAGACUGAAGUUCUCCCUUGAACUCACCAGCUACAUCUUAACACAAAAGGUCAACAGGAUGAGAGUUUCAGCUGGGAAGAACUAUGUACUUGACUUUUUGGAUUUGAAAUGAAAGACUGAUUUUCAAGGACAAACUGCUGGAUUCAUGUGGCUGCAAUCAAAGAGUUUUCUAGAAAACACCAACCUGAUCUAAUGAAAAUGGUGAUGUUCACAUCUGAUGGUGCCUCCGUGAUGUUGGGCAAACUCAGUGGUGUGGCAGCUCAGAUAAAACAUGAUAUUCCACACUUAGUCCAGCAAACAUUGCGUUACACACCGGGAAGACUUGGGAUUUCUGAUGCAUGGAAAGAGGUCAAGCUGAUAAGAGACAUUGAAACCUUAAUGAGAACUGUCUACACAGCGUUCUGUCAGUCAUCCAAGAGAAAAUGCAAAUUUCAGGAAAUAGUGGAUGCUUCUGAAUGUGAGUCAGUGGCUUUCAGGCCACUCAAUGAAGUGCACUGGUUAUGUAGGCACUUUGCACUUCGAGCAAUUAUUCACAACUAUAAUCCUCUUCUGGAAUAUUUUGAGCAAGAAAAAGAUACUGAUCCAGUUUCUAAAUACUGCCACAAAAAGCUAAAUACCAUGGAAUACCGAAUAACAUUAGCAGUUUUGAAUGAUGUUUUGUCGGAGCUGGCGUCACUAUCCACGCUGCUCCAGAAACGGGGCCUUACACCUCUUGAAGCAUUUCACCUUGCCCAAGGUAAACUGAACAAGAUCAGAAGACAGUACCUUGGAGAUUCAGUCUUAUGGAGUGACAAAGUUAAGGCUCUCUUAGAUAUGAGCUCUCAAGAAAAUAAUGAAAUUGAUACCAGUUCCAUAAUAACUUUCAUAAACUUCUUGUGUGCACAUUUGGCAGACAGGU